GGUCAUCUCAACUGAAACGAAACUAUACCUACGUACCAGGGCAUGCAUCAAAAGUAUAAGAAUCUUAAUCCUCGUAUGAUCAAACAGCAGGGACAAAUCAAGAAUACAAAAAGAACACAUCGGCCAUGAACAUGUAAAGCAAAAUGCAAUCUCAUGAUGUAAAAUGGUAAGAACCAGUGCUGAAAACAUACAAAGUACUAUCAAUUAGACGUCGAGCGUCUACCACGAACAUGCCUCUAUCCUCUCCUAGUUGGAGAAUAUUCGUCGAUCCAUCAUUAGCAUCCUGAAGCAGUUCCACCGCCACCUGAUGUGCAACAGUACCCUCGGUCACAUGACGACACAAUAUCAACGACCGUAACUUUCUAGCCAUUCUCCUAAAUAUAGCCUGCAUAAUAAUUAUAUCAAACAAAUAAAUAAACAUGGUUAAGCAAAAUUUAAUAACAUAAGCAAUGAAAAAUAACAUACCAAGGCGCCAGAUGGUGAAGGUGGAGAGGAUCUACGAUGAGGUCGUGCCUCCUGUGGGAUAUCAGGACGCUGUGUAGGCGCAAGAGGCGGUCUCGCGUCAGCUGGAGCAGCAAUAAUAUAGGGAUGUGAAACCCUCGUAAACCACUGUAUGUAUCCAUCGACACAUUCAGAAGGGUAUGAUGCCUGUCUCACAUUCCUAAUAACGUGGUCUGUGAAGUGCAACCACGCAAAAUCAACAACGACUACAUAUAGGUCGUCUCCUAGCUAAACCCUGUGCAGAACUCUCUCCUUGAGAACUCUCCCCACGAUAACUAAAAGACGCACCUCGUGUUCUUACCAUUUCUGAAAAAAAUAUUUUUUAUUAAAUUAAUAAUUAUUUCAUUAAAUUAAUCAUAUUUUUUCAAUAAUUUAAUAAUAAUUAUUUUAUUAACUAAAAUAAUUUUAAUUUAGAUAUAAUUAAGUAACAUAUUAUAAAAUAAUACUAAAUUUAAAUACUCUAUAAAUUAAUUAAAAAUACAAUAAACUAAUAAAAUAAAAAAUUUAAAACAAAAUAAUUAAGUAACAAAAUUAUUUGAAAAUAAAAAGUUAAAAAUUAAUUACUUAUAAAAUAAACUAAAAACUUAAAAAAAUAAUCAGGCCCUAAACGGAUGUCGAGUUUGGCCCUGAAACGGAUGUCGAUAUCCGUCGACGGAUGUCCGACAUCCGUUAAGGUCUGUCUUCUUCCUCCUACGCACACAUACCUCUACCAGACAGCACAACAGACACAAACAGCACAACAGACAGCACAAAACGAACGGAUCAAACAACAAUGGCACACAAACAGAGCAAAAUCAAUAGAAAUCAACACAAUGGGCAAUGAAAACUAACCUCUCGGCAGAAACCAAACAAAGCGCCGUACCACCGCGCUGCACUGUCGCACAGACCCGCCGCACACUCAAGCUGCACUGCCGCACACACCACGCCGCACCGUCGCCGCUGCACCGCCGGGAAGAGAAGACUGGAAAAGUUGAUUCAAAAGCUUGGGGGUGUGAAUUCGAAGGGAAGGGGAGGUGGGGCUGUUUCGAAUGUUUGGAGAGUGUGUGAAAGUGAAAGUGAAAUAGAAAGUAAAGUAAAACUAGGGUUACAUAGGGUUAAAAAAGUAAAAAUAAAAAAUAAAAAAGGUUAGUUAUGUAAUUAAUGAAAAGUUAAAAAAAAAUGGGGAGGUGUAGGUUUGAAAUGGGGAGGUGGAGGGAUGAAUGCCCUUCUUUUUAUGCGGCUCAGAUUUCAACCCGAUUCAUUUAAAUCCGGCUCAUGCGGGUUGAACCCGUGGUGGGUCGGGUUGGCCCACCAACCCACCUACCUAAUUUUAUUUUUUUAAUUUAUUAUUUUAUUUAUGACACCCUAAAAAUUAAAAUACUCUCUUCACUCACUGUGUGUACCAAAAAAGUAACCUCUGCUCUCACAAAUCACUCUCAUGGAACUUGCUCUCAUUUACGGUGCUGUCACUUUCACUUCUUCACUGAAAUUCUUCAAGGAGCAUG
rnacentral:lncRNA from 1 species